rnacentral:rRNA from 1 species
GCAAGUCGAGCGGACCGAAGGGAGCUUGCUCCUUUAGGUUAGCGGCGGACGGGUGAGUAACACGUGGGCAACCUGCCCUGCAGACUGGGAUAACUUCGGGAAACCGGAGCUAAUACCGGAUAACACCGAAAACCGCAUGGUUUUCGGUUGAGAGGCGGCUUUUAGCUGUCACAGCAGGAUGGGCCCGCGGCGCAUUAGCUAGUUGGUGAGGUAACGGCUCACCAAGGCGACGAUGCGUAGCCGACCUGAGAGGGUGACCGGCCACACUGGGACUGAGACACGGCCCAGACUCCUACGGGAGGCAGCAGUAGGGAAUCUUCCGCAAUGGACGAAAGUCUGACGGAGCAACGCCGCGUGAGCGAAGAAGGUCUUCGGAUCGUAAAGCUCUGUUGUCAGGGAAGAACAAGUACCGUUCGAACAGGGCGGUACCUUGACGGUACCUGACGAGGAAGCCACGGCUAACUACGUGCCAGCAGCCGCGGUAAU